rnacentral:rRNA from 1 species
CCCUUUGAUACUCUGGGCGGCACGCGCGCUACACUGGUUUAUAUAACGUGUAAUUUGGACGAUAGUCUGUAUAAAUCACUAAUAUAAAACCGUGAAUGGGAUAGUUUAUUGCAACUUACAAACUUUAACUAGGAAUCCCUUGUAGAAGUAGUGAAUUAUACUGCUUCGAAUACGUCCCUGCCGAUUGUACACACCGCCCGUCGUUUCUUCCGACUGGUACUCAUUGUGAAUUGCGAGGAGAUUCUGUCAAAUCGUUGUAAAUGCUGGGUAUUGGAGGAAGAAAAAGUCGUAACA